GGCCAAGUCCCUCGCAACGUUGCUAUGUGCAACCCCGCCAGGUCCGGAAGGAAGCAACGGCCCACAUAUGAACGUGUGACGGGGGUAAGCUUGGCCUCU
rnacentral:SRP_RNA from 1 species